GAUGUACUCCCUCCGUCCGAAAAUACUUGUCAUCAAAAUGGACAAAAAGAGAUGUAUUUAGAAUUAAAAUACAUCUAGAUACAUCCCCUUUUAUCCAUUUUGAUGACAAAUAUUUCCGGACGGAGGGAGUAGUAU
rnacentral:pre_miRNA from 1 species